rnacentral:rRNA from 1 species
GACGAACGCUGGCGGCGUGCCUAAUACAUGCAAGUAGAACGCUGAAGGAGGAGCUUGCUCUUCUGGAUGAGUUGCGAACGGGUGAGUAACGCGUAGGUAACCUGCCUGGUAGCGGGGGAUAACUAUUGGAAACGAUAGCUAAUACCGCAUAAGAGUAGAUGUUGCAUGACAUUUACUUAAAAGUUGCAAUUGCAUCACUACCAGAUGGACCUGCGUUGUAUUAGCUAGUUGGUGGGGUAACGGCUUACCAAGGCGACGAUACAUAGCCGACCUGAGAGGGUGAUCGGCCAAAAUGGGACUGAGACACGGCCCAGAAUCCUACGGGAGGCAGCAGUAGGGAAUCUUCGGCAAUGGACGGAAGUCUGACCGAGCAACGCCGCGUGAGUGAAGAAGGUUUUCGGAUCGUAAAGCUCUGUUGUAAGAGAAGAACGAGUGUGAGAGUGGAAAGUUCACACUGUGACGGUAUCUUACCAGAAAGGGACGGCUAACUACGUG